GGCUAGUUGGGGUAUUUUUCUGUGCAGCUGCAUAAAGAGUUGCACAAGUUAUGUAGCCAGUUGUGCAAGUUUCGGCUAUUUGGAAAUUCCUUAUGUGAAACUGUACAAGAGAAGGCAUGAAAGUGCACAAGCUGUGCGGUACGUUAUGCAAAUUUCGGCAGGUGCAAGAUUUCUUCUGUGAAGCCGCAUAAGGAGCCUGCAUAA
rnacentral:misc_RNA from 1 species